rnacentral:rRNA from 1 species
AGUGAACGCUGGCGGUAGGCCUAACACAUGCAAGUCGAACGGCAGCACAGUAAGAGCUUGCUCUUACGGGUGGCGAGUGGCGGACGGGUGAGGAAUACAUCGGAAUCUACUUUUUCGUGGGGGAUAACGUAGGGAAACUUACGCUAAUACCGCAUACGACCUACGGGUGAAAGCAGGGGAUCUUCGGACCUUGCGCGAUUGAAUGAGCCGAUGUCGGAUUAGCUAGUUGGCGGGGUAAAGGCCCACCAAGGCGACGAUCCGUAGCUGGUCUGAGAGGAUGAUCAGCCACACUGGAACUGAGACACGGUCCAGACUCCUACGGGAGGCAGCAGUGGGGAAUAUUGGACAAUGGGCGCAAGCCUGAUCCAGCCAUACCGCGUGGGUGAAGAAGGCCUUCGGGUUGUAAAGCCCUUUUGUUGGGAAAGAAAAGCAGCAGGUUAAUACCCCGCUAUUCUGACGGUACCCAAAGAAUAAGCACCGGCUAACUUCGU